rnacentral:rRNA from 1 species
UACGUAGGGUGCAAGCGUUGUCCGGAAUUAUUGGGCGUAAAGAGCUCGUAGGCGGUUCGGCAAGUCGGAUGUGAAAUCUCCACGCUUAACGUGGAGGGGCCAUUCGAAACUGCCGUGACUCGAGUCCGGUAGGGGAGUUCGGAAUUCCCGGUGUAGCGGUGAAAUGCGUAGAGAUCGUAAGGAAGACCAGUGGCGAAGGCGGGUCUCUGGACAGUUCCUGACACUGAGGCACGAAGGCCAGGGGAGCAAACGGG